CCCCCAAUGAGUUGUUCCGCUCCUUUUCUCCGUCACCAAUCACUGAGCAGUAGCGAGAUAAAAGUAACAGGAUAAUAAUGUCAGGCAAUGCUUUUGCGCGCUUGUUCUUCUGUUUCAACUUUGUAUUGCAAGCAGAUUUCCCUAAAUCACUGAGCCUUCUAGAUCAAGUGAUUACAACUGGCAGAAGUUCCAGACCAACAGUUGGAGACAAGAGGGCAUCAGGAAGAGAAAGGGAAAUGCCAACAAGAGAUCAGAUCUUCUCACCUGGAGCAUUUGUAAGAUGGGGCAACAAGCCAAGAUAGUAUAUGACGCUAUUGUAAUUAUAUGAAUCUUGCGCCUUUCCUCAGCAUGUUUUAUUUCAUUGCUUUAUUGUAUCAUUUUCUUUUAUAUUUUGUUUUAAUCUUUGUAAGAUACCCAAAAUCAUAAAUAAAUAACAUCUGUUAAUACAGAUAAUCUUA